GCCCGGAUGAUUCAUUGAGUGCGGUGACAUUGUAGGUGCAGGCGUGUGUACUGUUGCUGAGGUGUGUUGUUAAAGAAAAGCAAAGAAACCAACAUGGGCAAAGUGAAAGUGCACGUCGUUUACUGUGGCGCAUGAGGUUACGCCCCCAAGUUCCAUAAGCUGGAGACAGAACUUAUGGACGAAUUUGGGGGCGAAAUCGAUGUGACUUAUGAGGCCACACCAACCACCACUGGCAAGUUUGAGGUUACUGUCAAUGGCAAGCUUGUGCAUUCUAAACUGGUAA